rnacentral:rRNA from 1 species
GACAGAGGGUGCAAACGUUGUUCGGAAUUACUGGGCGUAAAGCGCGUGUAGGCGGUUCGUAAAGUCGGAUGUGAAAGCCCUGGGCUUAACCCAGGAAGUGCAUUCGAAACUCACGAACUUGAGUCCCGGAGAGGAAGGCGGAAUUCUCGGUGUAGAGGUGAAAUUCGUAGAUAUCGAGAGGAACAUCUGUGGCGAAGGCGGCCUUCUGGACGGUGACUGACGCUGAGAUGCGAAAGCGUGGGGAGCAAACAGG